GACAGUUCGGUCCCUAUCUGCCGUGGGCGCUGGAGAAUUGAGGGGGGCUGCUCCUAGUACGAGAGGACCGGAGUGGACGCAUCACUGGUGUUCGGGUUGUCAUGCCAAUGGCACUGCCCGGUAGCUAAAUGCGGAAGAGAUAAGUGCUGAAAGCAUCUAAGCACGAAACUUGCCCCGAGAUGAGUUCUCCCUGAGACUUUAAGUCUCCUGAAGGAACGUUAAAGACGAUGACGUUGAUAGGCCGGGUGUGUAAGCGCAGCGAUGCGUUGAGCUAACCGGUACUAAUGAACCGUGAGGCUUAACCUUACAACGCCGAAG
rnacentral:rRNA from 1 species